GGCGACAUGGCCGAGUGGUCUAAGGCGCUAGAAUCAGGUUGCUUGCCUUGUAUCUAGUCAUUCGUGGCGUGGGUUCGAAUCCCACUGUCGUCA